rnacentral:rRNA from 1 species
AUGCAUCUUGGUGAGCGUAGGAAAAUUUUAAAUUAUGCUACGAUUCCCAACACUCCAACCUCUAUACAAUGUGAUAAUGGUCGUGAAUUUGAUAAUGUUAAAAAUCGUACAUUCUUUCUUAACCACGGCAUUCUUCUCCGUUUUUUUUGUCCCUACACUUCUCCUCAAAACGGAAAAGCUGAACGUUCUCUUCGUACUAUAAAUGAUAUUAUUCGUACCCUUCUUCUUCAAUCUUCCAUGCCUUCCCAAUACCGGGCUGAGGCUCUCCACACCGCUACAUAUCUUCUCAAUAUCCGUCCUGCCAAAGCCAAUCCCAACAUCACCCCCUACUUUUCUCUGUUUCUGUGUCAUCCAAACUACUCCGACAUUCGUGUUUUCGGUUGCCUCUGUUUUCCUAACACUUCCGCUACCACCGCUCAUAAGCUCUCUCCCCGCUCUGUCCCGUGUGUUCUCCUUGGUUUUUCGAAUGAACACAAAGGCUAUCGCUGCCUUGAUUUAUACACUGGCCGGGUUCUUGUAUCUCGGCAUGUCACCUUUGCUGAACACAUCUUUCCAUUU